CUUCACUUCAUCUCAUCCCAUGGGCAUUUUAUCAUUUCACAUCAUCAGGAAGAAGGGGGAGUAUAGUACCGGAAGAAUAAACAAGUUGAGUCACUUUGGCAUGGAAAAGAAAAUACUGCUUAAGAAGACUGCAUAAGAAUUCAGCUUCCACGGACAUUUGUCCGGAGCAAUGGUUCAGGAGUCGGACUCACCAAUGGAUCCCCGAUCAAUCAGUCAGGAGUGAAGAUAUAAAGUCUUCAAAGCAGGCUGACUCAGACUAAUGAGCUCCCCAGGUGCCACUGUCUAACACAGGCCUGUCAAGAUGAGCACCCAGCAGAGGAGUCUCCAGAAGAACUAACUCCGGUGCAUGGAGCCUGCUUCUCCCUCUGCCUGUGUCUCUGCCUCUCUCUCUCUCUCUCUCUCUCUC